rnacentral:rRNA from 1 species
UACGUAGGGUGCGAGCGUUAAUCGGAAUUACUGGGCGUAAAGCGUGCGCAGGCGGUUAUGCAAGACAGAUGUGAAAUCCCCGGGCUCAACCUGGGAACUGCAUUUGUGACUGCAUAGCUGGAGUGCGGCAGAGGGGGAUGGAAUUCCACGUGUAGCAGUGAAAUGCGUAGAUAUGUGGAGGAAUACCGAUGGCGAAGGCAGCCCCCUGGGUCGACACUGACGCUCAUGCACGAAAGCGUGGGUAGCAAACAGG